AGUUACCAAAUUUUAACCUAAUAAUAAAAAACAGGCGGUGCGGGUUCUAAUGUUGUGAUUGGGUCAAGUUGAGCCCGUCCGUCUCAUUUCGCAUACAGAAUACAGAGACACGUACUAAAGAAGUGAGUCUUAACGGCUUGAUUUGAUCUCUCUUUUGUGUUUCUUUUCUUUUCCAUUGCUGUUUUCAUGAGAUGAAGAGAUUACGGGAGGAUGGGUUUGUUUACUCACAAGAUAAGCGGCGAUUUCGUUCUUCUCUACGGACAUCCAUUGAGAAAUCCAAGAUCCCAGGAGGAGGAGGUGGUUCACAUAUGCUGGAAAGCAUGGAGACCUAUCUCAAUGAAGUUAGGGAUGCUUUUCGAGAACAAACACCAACAUAUAAGAUGUUCCAGAAUGUGAUGAGAGAAUUUAAGGCUCAAAGAAUUGACACUACCGAUCUCAUGGUGUGGGUGAAAAAACUAUUCAACGGGCAUGACAAUUUAAUCAUUGGAUUUAAUACCUUCUUGCCAAAGGGGUAUGAAAUCACCCUCACUAAUGAGGAUGAGGAAGAGGAGCCAAAGAAUAUGGUUCAGCUCCAGAAAGCUAUAGAUUUCGUAAACAAUGUACAGAAACGCUUCCGGAAUAAUGAUCGAGUAUAUAAAUCAUUUAUAUACAUCGUGAAUUUAUACCGAGCAGGGUACAUAGGAAUUCAACAGGUCUACCAUAAGGUCACCACACUCUUCAUUGACCAUUUAGACUUGCUUGAGGAGUUCAUGAUAUUUUUUCCUAAAGAAUCUUCGGGUAGAGUAUCAACAGCACAUCAUCCAAUUGACCGACAUCCUUUUCAUCAUUAUGAUGGGCAGAUCUCUGUUAUGCCAACACUGCAGGAUAGGCUCAUAGAAGAGGACAAGAAUGAGGGGAAGAAAUCCUAUCUUUCUCAGCAACACUACCGGCAGGACAGGAUUAAUUCUCCCCAUCCAGAUCAUGUUCUAAGUGUUCAGCAUACUGAUUCAGAUGACUAUAAAAAAUUGCACAAGAAUCAGGGGAAGAGUGCUGCCAAGAAGAGCAAUAAAAGGAGAAACUUUGAUCAGGAUUAUAGAAAAUCUGAGCAUCAGAUGCCUAGGGACUUUAACAUGCCAUGCCUUCCUGAAAAAGAGAAAUCUGCAUGGAGGAUUGAAGACCUUGGAGGGAAUUCUUUGGCCUCUUAUGAUGAUAGAGAUGCCUUGAAAAAAACAUUGUGGAACAAAGACGAUACUUCCAUAUCAGUAAACAUAGAGGAUGAAUAUAUGGAGCAGGAGCAUGUGAUGGAUGGAGACAGAGAAAAGGAUAUAUAUAAUGAAAAGUAUAUCGGAAAAUCCAUUCAUGAGCUUGAUCUCUCUAAUUGCCAACACUGUGGCCAUAGCUAUUGGCUUUUGCCUGAGGACUACCCAAUACCUUCGACAAGCGGAAGAUCAGAGCUUGGUGAUCAAGUGUUGAAUAAUCGUUGGGUAUCUGUUACUUCGGGUAGUGAGGAUUACUCUUUUAAACACAUGCGCAGAAACCAAUAUGACGAAAUCCUGUCUGUAUGUGACGAUGAUAGGUAUGAGCUAGACAUGUUGUUGAAGUCAGUGAGGUCAACUGCUAUGGAAGCAGAGAAACUUUUGCACAGUGUCAAUGAUGAUCCAGUCAAUCCAGAGACUCCAAUCCGCAUUGAAGACAAAUUUACAGCUCUGAAUUUAAGGUGUAUUGAACGUCUGUAUGGUGAUCAUGGACUCGAUGUGAUGGACAUAUUACGUAAAGACCCAUCUGUUGCAUUGCCUGUCAUACUAGCUCGCCUAAAGCAGAAACAGGAGGAGUGGACAAAGUGUCAUUCAGAUUUUAACAAGGUUUGGGGUGAAGUUUACGCUAAGAACCAUUAUAAGUCACUGGAACAUCAUAGCAUCUAUCUGAAGCAGCAAGGUCCAAAGAACUUCAGCACAAAAUGGCUUGGUGCAACUCCUGGACCUAGUAAUGCUACUGUUGAGGAUGGUUAUGAAGCCAAGACUAACAUUGAUGAUGUACCUUCAUCAGAUGAUGAUGAUGCUUCAAAACCAAUUCCGUUGACAAAUGAAGUGUACCCAGAUGGCACUGGAGUUAAUAGAUCUUUUGAGCCCUCCGAAGUGGAGAAAGAAAAAGGUGAGUUAUUGCCUAAUUGCAAUUUUGAAGAGGAUAACUUUGUUGUUCAUGGAGAUAGUUUGCAGGCUAUGCCUGAAACUGAGCGGAAUUAUUAGAUUGUCCUGGACCAUGUGGUCCUGUCCAAUCAAACCUAUCCAACUAAGAAAAGUGCCCACCAGAAUCUAAUAAGAUAUUACAAAGAAACCUAGACAUGGAUUUUGAUUGGACUGGACCACCAAGUGGCAUAUGGUCUUGGUCUAUCUAAUAAUUUCUCGUAGUAUACAACUAGGAAUGGGGAAGUAAUCUGUUGUCAGGAUCCUGGGGGAAAAAAAGAUGUAGAUGCUAAUGGUGAGGACAGUGAUACUGUGUCUGAGUCUUGUGAAAAUGUUCUGGGCAGCGUGUCUGCUGCUGAUACAUGCCCUUGGGAAAGAGCAUGGAGAGAAGGAAGAUGGAUAACAUGAUGAACUUGACAGUAAGGUUGGGUAAUCUAGCUGGAUGUAGAAUAAUUGCUAUGGCAGUUGGAAGUCUCUAGUAUUGGCAGCAAGAAGGAAGUCACUGAUAGUUCUCGAAUGAUGGUGGAUUUAUCUAUAAAUAGAGAAGGUGUGAAGGUGAGGCUGAGGGGAUGACUUUAUUGGAGAAGACGGCACGGUGUGAACAUUUUCUGCAAACUGUGAAGCCUUUUACACUGCAUCAUGAUGAUUUUGUGGCUUAUCUGCAAACUGUGGUAGCAGAUUCUCUGGACCUUGAUUUUGUGGCUUAUCUAUCUGCACCAUGAUUUUCUGGCAGAUGUUCCUGACAAAAGGGAGCCAUAUGGCAUCAUGCUGCAGAGAUUUGCUAUGUGAAAGAAGAGCUUGUCAGUGAUCAAUAAAAAAAAUUUGUGGCAGAUUUGCUAUGUGAAAGAAGACUUCCCCUUUGAAGAAGAAAUUUGUCGGGCGGAUCCUCAUGCCAUGAUCAGAAAU